GAUGAACGCUAGCUACAGGCUUAACACAUGCAAGUCGAGGGGUAACGAGAGGAAAGCUUGCUUUCCUUGUCGACGACCGGCGCACGGGUGAGUAACGCGUAUCCAACCUGCCCCCAACUAAGGAAUAACCUUGCGAAAGUAAGACUAAUACCUUAUAAUUUCCUCAGAUGACAUCUGACGAGGAAUAAAGAUUUAUCGGUUGUGGAUGGGGAUGCGUCUGAUUAGCUUGUUGGCGGGGUAACGGCCCACCAAGGCAACGAUCAGUAGGGGUUCUAAGAGGAAGGUCCCCCACAUUGGAACUAAGACACGGUCCAAACUCCUACGGGAGGCAGCAGUGAGGAAUAUUGGUCAAUGGGCGGAAGCCUGAACCAGCCAAGUAGCGUGCAGGAUGACGGCCCUAUGGGUUGUAAACUGCUUUUAUACAGGAAUAAAGUUAGCCACGUGUGGUUAUUUGUAGGUACUGUAUGAAUAAGGACCGGCUAAUUCCGUGCCAGCAGCCGCAGUAA
rnacentral:rRNA from 1 species